AAGCUCGUAGUUGAAUUUCGGGGUUAGUAGGUUGGCCAUGCCUCUGGUAUGUACUGGUCUCACUGAUUCCUCCUUCCUGAUGAACCGUAAUGCCAUUAAUUUGGUGUUGCGGGGAAUUUGGACUGUUACUUUGAAAAAAUUAGAGUGUUUAAAGCAAGCUAACGCCUGAAUACAUUAGCAUGGAAUAAUGAAAUAGGACGUUCGAUCCUAUUUUGUUGGUUUCUAGGAUUGACGUAAUGAUUAAUAGGGAUAGUUGGGGGCAUUAGUAUUCAAUUGUCAGAGGUGAAAUUCUUGGAUUUAUUGAAGACUAACUACUGCGAAAGCAUUUGCCAAGGAUGUUUUCAUUAAUCAAGAACGAAAGUUAGGGGAUCGAAGACGAUCAGAUACCGUCGUAGUCUUAACCAUAAACUAUGCCGACUAGGGAUCGGAUGAUGUUAAUUUUUUAAUGACUCAUUCGG
rnacentral:rRNA from 1 species